rnacentral:rRNA from 1 species
UAGGGAAUCUUCGGCAAUGGACGGAAGUCUGACCGAGCAACGCCGCGUGAGUGAAGAAGGUUUUCGGAUCGUAAAGCUCUGUUGUUAGAGAAGAACGUUGGUAGGAGUGGAAAAUCUACCAAGUGACGGUAACUAACCAGAAAGGGACGGCUAACUACGUGCCAGCAGCCGCGGUAAUACGUAAGUCUCGAGCGUUGUCCGGACUUAUUGGGCGUAAAGCGAGCGUUGGCGGUUCUUUAAGUCGAAAGUUAAAGGCAGUGGCUUAAGCAUUGUACGCUUUGGAAACUGAAGGACUUGAGUGCAGAAGGGGAGAGUGGAAAUCCGUAUGUAGCGGUGAGAUGCAUAGAUAUAUGGAAGAACGCCGGUGACGCAAGAUGCUCUCUGGUCUGUAACUGACGCAGAGGAUCGAAAGCGUGGGGAGCAAACAGG